rnacentral:rRNA from 1 species
CCUACGGGUGGCUGCAGUGGGGGAUAUUGCACAAUGGGGGAAACCCUGAUGCAGCGACGCCGCGUGGGUGAAGAAGCGCCUCGGCGCGUAAAGCCCUGUCAGCAGGGGAGAAAAUGACGGUACCUGAAGAAGAAGCCCCGGCUAACUACGUGCCAGCAGCCGCGGUAAUACGGAGGGGGCAAGCGUUAUCCGGAUUUACUGGGCGUAAAGGGGGCGCAGACGGGGAUGCAAGCCAGGAGUGAAAGCCCGGGGCCCAACCCCGGGACUGCUCUUGGAACUGCGUGGCUAGAGUGCAGGAGGGGCAGGCGGAAUUCCUGGUGUAGCGGUGAAAUGCGUAGAUAUCAGGCGGAACUCCGGUGGCGAAGGCAGCCUGCUGGACUGCAACUGACGUUGAGGCCCGAAAGCGUGGGGAGCGAACAGGAUUAGAUACCCGUGUAGUC